AGAGAGUAUAAAAGAAAUUCAAUUCUUCAUUAUUCUUAAUGAUUAUUCUUUGUCUUUGUUCCCUAGUCCUCAUCAGAUGUCCACUGACAGCACAGGACAUGGAAUCAUCAUCUCAGCUAUAUUUCUUUCACCUUCUGUCCAGAGCCAGAGAGCAGACUCUCGGAGAUGUCCAGUCUAUGUGGAGACCUUUGAGUGACUUGCGGACACAUCUGGUCUGUUUGGUGACCUCUGAGCGACUCCUCCGUGUAACACAAUUCUUUUUUUGAUAUAUAUUUUCUACCAUUUAUUAUUCUUUCUUUAUAUUGUGAAGGACAUAGUUCUCUGGGCUGAGUAGUACGAUAUUUUUAUUGCAUGUUUUCCUUUUUAAGGUGUCACUCCGUUCAAAUUCCUUUUGUAAUUUUCGAUGAGGUGGGGAGUGACACCUUGCAUCUGAUCUG
rnacentral:lncRNA from 1 species